rnacentral:rRNA from 1 species
CCCUUAGAGUUUGAUCCUGGCUCAGAUUGAACGCUGGCGGCAGGCUUAACACAUGCAAGUCGAACGGUAACAUAAAGAAGCUUGCUUCUUUGAUGACGAGUGGCGGACGGGUGAGUAAUGCUUGGGAAUCUAGCUUAUGGAGGGGGAUAACUACGGGAAACUGUAGCUAAUACCGCGUAGUAUCGAAAGAUGAAAGUGUGGGACCUUCGGGCCACAUGCCAUAGGAUGAGCCCAAGUGGGAUUAGGUAGUUGGUGAGGUAAAGGCUCACCAAGCCGACGAUCUCUAGCUGGUCUGAGAGGAUGACCAGCCACACUGGGACUGAGACACGGCCCAGACUCCUACGGGAGGCAGCAGUGGGGAAUAUUGCGCAAUGGGGGCAACCCUGACGCAGCCAUGCCGCGUGAAUGAAGAAGGCCUUCGGGUUGUAAAGUUCUUUCGGUAGCGAGGAAGGCAUUUAGUUUAAUAAACUAGGUGA